rnacentral:rRNA from 1 species
UACGUAGGUGGCAAGCGUUGUCCGGAAUUAUUGGGCGUAAAGCGCGCGCAGGCGGUCCUUUAAGUCUGAUGUGAAAGCCCACGGCUCAACCGUGGAGGGUCAUUGGAAACUGGGGGACUUGAGUGCAGAAGAGGAAAGCGGAAUUCCACGUGUAGCGGUGAAAUGCGUAGAUAUCUGGAGGAACACCUGUGGCGAAGGCGGGUCUCUGGACAGUUCCUGACACUGAGGCACGAAGGCCAGGGGAGCAAACGGG